GACUCAGUAGCUCAGUUGGUAGAGCAUCGCCCUUUUAAGGCGAGGGUCCUGGGUUCGAGACCCAGCUGAGUCA
rnacentral:tRNA from 1 species